UACGUAGGUGGCAAGCGUUGUCCGGAAUUAUUGGGCGUAAAGCGAGCGCAGGCGGUCCUUUAAGUCUGAUGUGAAAGCCCACGGCUCAACCGUGGAGGGUCAUUGGAAACUGGGGGACUUGAGUACAGAAGAGAAGAGUGGAAUUCCACGUGUAGCGGUGAAAUGCGUAGAGAUGUGGAGGAACACCAGUGGCGAAGGCGACUCUUUGGUCUGUAACUGACGCUGAGGCGCGAAAGCGUGGGGAGCAAACAGG
rnacentral:rRNA from 1 species